CUGCUAAUGAAAACCAAUUACAACAAAAUUACUCUUCCACUUUAAAUAACUACAAAACUGGAAAGAGAUAUACGAAACACUGAUUUUAGGUGCCAGACUACAGCCAGCGCGUGACUAUGGUGAUUGAAAGAAGAAAAUCAAAUGAGAUAUGACUGACCCAGCUUAUUGCCUGGAGGAAAUUAUUCAAGCCACAGUGUAGGGAGGGGAACAAAUUCUGGCAAUCUUAUUUGGCUGAGAGGAGAGAGAGCUGAGUUUGGAUAAGAAAAAUCUGCACAGGGAGAGAGAGCUCUGGGGAUUUGCACACAGAGUCCCCUUGAGUUUUUGGCUGGAAACUAAUCUGUGUAUGAGUAGGAUGACAUUUCCCCAAACCGAGGAAAGAACAACUGGAAAACCUUAGGCUGAACAAUUCACAAAGCUCACAAAGGGCUGGGAAUAUUUGCAUUUCCACCAGUCAAAACAGAAAGACCUUGUAAUAGACAGAAAAAUUGAUAAAGUUUUCUAAAGGGAUACACCUUAGUAGCAAGGCAAAAUCAGUCCCAGAUUAAAGUGUGCUCUGGACCUGCCAUAAUGUGCCUUGAAUGAAAGCUUCAAAAGGAUCAUAAGGUUAAUCCACAAGUAGUUACUUCUGUGGAAAGACAAAAUCCAAUACCAAAAGACAAAAGACAACACAAAAUUAACACUAUUCAAUAUUAAACUAAAAAUUACCAGACAUGCAAAGGAGCAGUCUGCAAAAAUAGACCCAAAUGAUGGUGUUGUACCCAAAAACCUUGAGACAGUUAUUGUAAAUCUAAAGGUAUAUUCAGAGAUUUGAAAAAUAAGAUAACUACAAUGAAAAGAGAAAUACAGACAUUACAAAGGCCAAAAUGAACUUCUAGAAAUGAAUGGUUCAAUAUUAAAAAUUUGGAAAUCACACUGGAUGUGAUUAUCAGAAGGAUAGACACCAAGAAAGAAAAGAUAAGUGGCCUUCAAGGUCUAGCAAUUGAAAAUAUCCAAAAUAAAACACUGAGAAAAAGGAGUGAACAAAAAAAAAGAUGCAGAACUUCAGGAAGCUGUAGGGUAAUGUCAGUCUUUCUAAUAAAUGUGUCAUUAGAGACCCCAAAAUAGGGAAGUCAGUUGAAAGGAAAGACAAGAAAAAAUAAUAGUACAAAUGAGACAGAGUAGAGAAGGGACUUGGCCCCACCCUUUACUAAUAUAUUUCUUUUCCUUUUCUUUCUUUUUCCAUUUCCUGACUGAUGACCAUUGGACCUUGAAGAAACUAAGAUAAGCAGUGUUCCAUCAUAAGUCUUACUCAGGGAAAGUAACUUUAUCAUCUGCAGUGCACAAGACCAGAAGAAUGACCGAUCUUUACCCCUCACCUCAUUAUAACACUAAAACCUCUGCCAAGGGGGUUCUUAUCUGCCAUUUUCUGCUCAUGUGAUGUAUGUGUUAGCAUGAUCCCUUACUACACCUGAGCAUCCUGCACUCCACCCCAUACAUGUAGUGAUGCUCACCUACUUCUUGAAUUAUUAAUGUCACCUCCUUAAGACACUGCAAUGCACUCCCCUCUGGGAGCCGGCUGGAGAAAUUUUGCUCCAGUACUGUCUCCCUUGUGUUCCAGCAUAACCCCCUAAUAAAGCUUUGUCUGGGAAACUUGCUUGGCUUCAUGUCAACUUCUAUUAUAUGAGAGCCUAAGGACCUAUGAACACUAACAAAAAUAUUCUCAGAUCUAAUGAAAACAAAAAUC
rnacentral:lncRNA from 1 species